GAUACCCUAUUAUUUUAAAUGUAAUUUUAUAAACUAAAAUUAUUAGUAGUUAUGUUCUUUAAAAUUAAAAAAUUUGGCGGUGUUUUAGUCUUUUCAGAGGAACCUGUUUUUUAAUCGAUAGUCCACGAUAAACUCUACUUUAACUUAUAAUUUGCAUAUCGUCGUUUAUAAAGAUUUUAUUAGGAUUGAAAUUUUUAAUAUUUUUUAUUAGAAGUUAAUUCAGAUCAAGGUGUAGUUUAUGUUAAAGUAAGAAUGGGUUACAUUAAAUUUAUUUGUGGUUUUAUUAUUUAAAAUUUUAAAUAAAUUGGAUUUGAAAGUAAUUAUUAUAUUUUUAUAUUAUGAUUUAGCUCUAAAAUAUGCACACAUCGCC
rnacentral:rRNA from 1 species